rnacentral:rRNA from 1 species
GAUGAACGCUGGCGGCGUGCUUAACACAUGCAAGUCGAACGGAAAGGCUCCUGCUUGCAGGGGUACUCGAGUGGCGAACGGGUGAGUAACACGUGGGUGAUCUGCCCUGCACUUCGGGAUAAGCCUGGGAAACUGGGUCUAAUACCGGAUAGGACGAUGGUUUGGAUGCCAUUGUGGAAAGUUUUUUCGGUGUGGGAUGAGCUCGCGGCCUAUCAGCUUGUUGGUGGGGUAAUGGCCUACCAAGGCGUCGACGGGUAGCCGGCCUGAGAGGGUGUACGGCCACAUUGGGACUGAGAGACGGCCCAGACGCCUACGGGAGGCAGCAGUGGGGAAUAUUGCACAAUGGGCGCAAGCCUGAUGCAGCGACGCCGCGUGGGGGAUGACGGCCUUCGGGUUGUAAACUCCUUUCGCUAGGGACGAAGCGCAAGUGACGGUACCUGGAGAAGAAGCACCGGCUAACUACGUG